rnacentral:misc_RNA from 1 species
AAUGUCUAUGAUCUUUCUCCGAAGGUUCUCUCUUGUUCUUUCCAUACAUAUAUGUAAUCGUAGAUGAUCACCAAUUGCUCCUCGAAUUGCCUCGUUUAAUGACCUGCUGUUUAGGGUGUUCUUUUCAUUGCUUUUAAUGUCUUUGCAUUUGAUUGAAUCCCAAGGAGGUCAUUAAUUGAAUCCUUAUUUUUCUUUCAUUGUUCUCGGUAGACGUAUGUAUUCAAGCUAAUGA